UACGUAGGGUGCGAGCGUUGUCCGGAAUUACUGGGCGUAAAGAGCUCGUAGGUGGUUUGUCGCGUUGUUCGUGAAAACUCACAGCUUAACUGUGGGCGUGCGGGCGAUACGGGCAGACUGGAGUACUGUAGGGGAGACUGGAAUUCCUGGUGUAGCGGUGGAAUGCGCAGAUAUCAGGAGGAACACCGGUGGCGAAGGCGGCAUCCUGGACCGGCAUUGACGCUGAGGCGCGAAAGCCAGGGGAGCAAACGGG
rnacentral:rRNA from 1 species